UACGGGGGGAGCAAGCGUUGUUCGGAUUUACUGGGCGUAAAGGGCGCGUAGGCGGCCAGCACAAGUCAGUUGUGAAAUCUCCGAGCUUAACUCGGAAAGGUCAACUGAUACUGUGCGGCUGGAGUGCGGAAGGGGCAACUGGAAUUCUUGGUGUAGCGGUGAAAUGCGUAGAUAUCAAGAGGAACACCUGCGGCGAAGGCGGGUUGCUGGGCCGACACGUGACGCUGAAGCGCGAAAGCGUGGGGAGCGAACAGG
rnacentral:rRNA from 1 species